CCAUAAUUUCUUGAUAAACUGUGUUUUUUUUUUUUUUUUUUUAAAGGAAGAAAAGUGGGCAUGAAAUCCUAUACCUUGAUCAGAGAUACAGUGAACAACCAAAGCAGUGCUUGGGUACUGAAUUUCACCAGGUGCAAAAAUAGAGUUCUCAUAGUUCAGGUAGGAUGAACAUUUGAAAAAUCAGCUAAAAACAGGCAUAAACCACCUAAAUAGAAAAACAAAUUUAAAAGCUUCAGGUGAAAUAAUUUCAUCUUAAAAUUAGAGUAGGGAAACUAUUAUUUGCCAUUCCUCUACUACUGCUUUGAAAAGGCAGCCGUUAGUUUUUAUAGCCACAGCUUCUGCUUCAACACAAGGACUUGUCAAUUGUAACAGAGUGUGUGUUAACAGAAUUGAGCGAUUUCACACAUUUCACCCCAAGCAUUUAUUAUGACGCAUCCUGCAAGUCUUGGAUAGCUGAGCAGGUCUAGGCCUGAAAGCAGACAUUUAUCGACAAUCACAUCCUCAGCUGCGCCUCACAGCCUCAUGUACUGGUCAGUGCAGACAGACAACACAGCAUCCUGGACAACUGCUUGCCCACAGGCUGUACUGUCAUGUAACAAUAGGCCAACUAAGAGUGUAUAGAUAGCGUUUCCAAGAAAUACUGAUCCAAACAACAAAACCUGCAACAGUAAGGUUCUUCACCUAAAAUGUAAAACAACUGGAUAACUCUGCACUGAAGCCAACAGUCACAAAUGAAGAGGCUGCUCUGGGAGUUAUGGUUUUAGACAGUUUUGUUAAAAAUGUGUCUUGGAGAAGAGUGUUUUGGACUGAAACCUGGAUGUCCAAAUGCCUACCCAGGUUUGGGAAGUUCUCAGUCAUCAUUUAUUUAAACAAGCUUCCUGCCCUUCCUCCCCCUCUUCUCCUGGGGCUCCAUUGAUGUGCAGACUGUUUCUUAAUGGUGUCUCAGAAGUCCUGUAAGCUUUUCAUUUCUCUUCAUUCUUCCCCCACCCCCUUCUCUGGAUAAUUUCAAAUGCUCUGUUUUCAAGCUCACUGAUUCUUUCUUCUGCUUGAUCUAGUCUGUUGUUGAAGCUCUGUAUUAAAUUCUUCAGUUCAGUCAUUGUGCUCUUCAGCUCCAAAAUUUGUUUGGUUCGUCUUUAUGUUUUCUACUGAACUU
rnacentral:lncRNA from 1 species